AAGAAAUAUCGCUUCAUCAUUUUCUCUCUCACUUUACUUUGUUACUGUUUGAUUUUGUUUGUUAAUCUAGUUCUCAUUGUGACAAUCAUCAUAGAUAAAAACCUGCAUGAACCCAUGUAUAUUCUACUGUGUGUGUUUUGCAUUAAUGGGCUGUUUGGAUCAACUGGUUUCUACCCAAAGCUUCUCUGGGAUCUGCUGUCUCCAGUCCAUGUUAUCUCUUAUUCUGGAUGUCUAAUUCAGGCUCUGGUAAUGUACACUUUUGCCUGUGCUGAUCUAUCAAUCCUUGCAGUAAUGGCCUAUGACAGGUAUGUGGCUAUAUGUCGACCAUUGGAGUACCACUCCAUCAUGUCAAAGCAGAGACUGGUGAAGUUGGUGUGUUUCUCUGUGAUCACUCCUUUUUUGUUCAUGUCAGCUAAUGUUUUACUUACAUCAAUGUUAAAGCUCUGCAGUAAUCAUAUUGCCAGAUUAUUCUGUAUAAACUGGGUUAUUGUUACACUCGCUUGUUUUCCAGCUGAAACUGUUCUUAACAACAUUGCAUCCUAUACUACAAUAGUUGUAUAUGUUCUUCAUGGUGUUUUUAUAGUUUGGUCCUACAUGUAUCUCAUCAAAACUUGUGUGAAUUCUAUAGAAAACAGAGCAAAGUUCAUGCAGACAUGUGUGCCUCAUGUUAUCUCACUGUUGACUUUUCUUCUGACUAUUCUUUUUGAUCUUAUGUAUCUCAGAUAUGGGUCUAAAAAUAUAUCACAAACCAUCCAAAACUUUAUUUCAAUAGAGUUUCUUGUCAUUCCCCCUCUAAUGAACCCACUUAUCUAUGGUUUUAAAUUGAAGAAGAUUAGAGACAGACUUCUGUUUUUUUUUGGAACUAAAUAACUUGGCCAAUUAUUACUUGAGUACAGUCAGAAGGCUUACAAAACUACUUUGUAUGUAUUCAAUAUUUUUUAGCUCUAAAGAUGUCAAAUUUGUAUAACCAUAUUUGUAUUUGAAUCAAGUAUUUCCAAAAAAAGAACUGAGAGAAGAAUCAAGAGAAUGUAACAGAUUGGGGAGAGUGGGGUAAGAUGAGCCACUUUUCAUAUUUCACUACAUCAAGUCAAUCAUAGUUUUGUCUCUAACUAGUGUAUCUACAUAUAUUUCAAGAUGUUUUGCAUCCCUGCAAACCAACAAAAUGAGUGUAAACAAAACUGUCUUGAUAAUAUAGCAUGACAAAAAAAAGUGGUCUCCUGUGGCUACAGCCCUCCCUCACCUUCUCUCUCCCUAAAUAACCGUCACUUCUUCACAUUCAUGUGUUUUUUAUCUAUUAUACUCUAUUCAACUGGUACAAUCAUUCUUUUUUAUUAUUAUUAUUGCACAUACCUGCUAAAAAGCUGUCUUGUAAAAAGUCAUUUUAACAUGAGAAUGUCUUUAAGUGAUUCAGAACAUUCACAGCUGUAUUUGUGAAAAGAAAAAGUAAAACAUUUCAACAAUCUGAACUGAAACUCUGAUCCUCUCAUCAGACUCAUGUACUUUUUCAGUUGAACCACCGGCUCAUCUUACCCCAGAACUACUAUGAUGACUUUAUUAGUCCUCUAAACUAAAAUGGUGGACUUUUAUACUAGGUUUUUGACCUCAUGUUGUAGUUCAUAGAUACCACUAUUGAUGUGUAAAACAAAUUUAAAAUGAUCUUUUUUGGUCUGAACACAAUUCUAAUAAAACUCAUGACAAACUAAAUUCACUUUCAAGAGUGAAAAAUGUUUUUUUUUUUAAAUAAAUGUCUAACCCCUUCACCCAUGUGCUUCUAACCUUCACAGACUCCAUGAAUUGAUGCCCAUCUCCUAAAUAUUUGGUCACAUGAUCAAUUUCUUUUACCAUUUCCAAGCAACAGGGGGUGGCUCAACUUACCCCACUCUCUCCUAAUAGAAACUCAUGUCUCAACAUGUCUUUUUUUUUUUUUUUUUGUCCUUUUCAAUCAAGAAAAAAUCAGAUGUGUCUUCUGUCAACCAAUUUUUCCAUGUGAUAUGGCUGUGUAAAAUCCUGCUAAUGUUUAAAACACUGCUUAGUUAUGUCAGCCAUGACAGCCCCACAAAAGCCCAGGCCUUAAGCAACCUCAGCCGCAGAGAUAGAAGAGCCCACAUCUGAGUCCCUGACCCUGCUUUCUCAUUGGAAUACGUGUUGGUAGGAUCGAGAAGGUCUUCAUAGUAUUCCUUUUGACUACGCCAGAAACCCUCUCCUAACUUGGUGCCAUUUACUAAAUCCACCGACAAUGAGCUGCGAGUCUGGAAGAAACUUUCAACUCUAUAGUUGAACCUCUUUAGUAAUACUGGGUCCAUGUCUAUAAGCUCCAACAUCGUUAAAACGUAUUACAUUUUUGUCUACCCACCCAAACUCUGUAGCCCUCUGUAGCUUUAACACCUUUUGGUCCCAUCUCAUAGGUUGCCUAUACCUCAAGCUUCAUCACUUCACCUUCUCAUUCAUUCUUUUAUUUAAUAAUGUUGUCAGCCUCUUACUGGCGAUCACUGGGCUCAUUAUUUGUGAUAAAUAUCCACAUUAAAGAAAAGUAAUUUUUGUGUAGUUGUGUUGAGAGUUCACUUUUUCCUUUAUUUUGUAAGUACUUCGACCCAAAGUAAAUAUAAGAGGGCUUUUUUUAUUUCAGAGUUGAAGCGCUAUUUCAUUUUUUAUUAUGUGUUGAGUUUAGAGUUUGUUUCCAGGUGAUGAACAGGCAAAGUACAAUGAUUGGUCCAUUUCAGUCUCCAUCCUCUGAUGACGUAAUGGUAGAGUACAUUAUUACCACUAAAAGGAGAGAGUUCAGACUGCAAGAGAUUUAUCCACUCCAUAAAAAAGCUUGUCUCAAUGGAUAACGCUUCAGAAAUUUUUCUCUCAGGUCUUAAUGAGACAAAGAAAUAUCGCUUCAUCAUUUUCUCUCUCACUUUACUUUGUUACUGUUCGAUUUUGUUUGUUAAUUUAGUUCUCAUUGUGACGAUUAUCAUAGAUAAAAACCUGCAUGAACUCAUGUAUAUUCUACUGUGUGUGUUUUGCUUUAAUGGGCUGUUUGGAUCAACUGGUUUCUACCCAAAGCUUCUCUGGGAUCUGCUGUCUCCAGUCCAUGUUAUCUCUUAUUCUGGAUGUCUAAUUCAGGCUAUGGUAAUGCACAAUUUCACCUGUGGUGAUCUAUCAAUUCUCGCAGUAAUGGCCUAUGACAGGUAUGUGGCUAUAUGUCGACCGCUAAAGUACCACUCCCUCAUGUCAAAGCAGAAACUGGUGAAGUUGGUGUGUUUCUCUGUGAUCACACCUUUUGCUGUAGUAUUAACCAACAUUUGCUUGUCAUCAAGGUUAAAGCUGUGCAGUAAUCAUAUUACCAGAUUAUUCUGUAUAAACUGGGUUUUUGUUGCCCUUGCUUGUUUUCCAGCCGAAACUGUUCUUAACAACAUAGUCGUCUAUGUCGCAAUGGUAGUUUCUGUUCCUCAUGGUGUUUUUAUAUUUUGGUCCUACAUGUAUCUCAUCAAAACUUGUGUGAAUUCGAUAGAAAACAGAGUAAAAUUCAUGCAGACAUGUGUGCCUCAUUUAACCUCCCUGCUGAUUUUCCUUGUGACAAUAUUUUUUGAUCUUUUGUAUCUCCGAUUUGGUUCUAAAGAUAUACCUCAACCUAUUCAGAACUUUAUUGCAAUCGAGUUUCUUUUCAUUCCCCCUUUAUUGAACCCACUUAUCUAUGGUUUUAAAUUAAAGAAGAUUCGAAACAGAGUUGUGGGUUUUGUUAGAGCUAAAUAAUUUCACUAAUGCUUGAUUGUGUACAGUCAGGAGGCUGACAAAACUACUUUGUAUGUAUAUCAUAUUCUUCAGCUCUAAAGAAUAAAAAUUUGUAUAAACAUUUUUGUAUCUGAAUCAAGUCUUUACAAAAAAAGAAAAAGAGUUAAACAUUUAGACUCUGCUUUGGUUACAAUAACCUUUACUGAGGGAAGUAUCAUGAGAAUGUAACAGAUGAUAGAAACUUAUGAAUCAUCCUGACGUGUCUGUUUUUGUCCAUUUCAAUCAAGAAAAAAUCUGAUGUGUCCUCGGUCAAACACUUUUUCUGUAUGAUAUGGUUGUGUAAAAUCCUGUUAUUCGAAUAACUAAAAUGUGACAUAUUUUUCAGAAAAAUGCUGGGAUUUUAUUGAAUUCAAAAGUGUGUUUACCUGAAAAGUAUAUAACUCUUUUAGAUUUUGCUUAUUGUUAUGAUCAGGACUGAUUGUGUGGUUAACUGAGGGAUAUAGCUCUAAGGCUGCAUUGGUUGAAUCUUUGCUUUCUUAUUACUUUGUUGUCUAGAUCUUUACAAAUUUCAGAUAUUUUUCAAAAAUGGAGCAUUUACCACCAGGUAUAUACAUGCAUACAUUCUGCUUUGUUUCAUUGGUUAAAACUUCAUAUAUAUUUAAUAAAUUACAUUUGUGCUGGACUGUAUUUGAGCUGAAAAUGGGACAGACAGACAGCAGUGAACCAACAUCAGUUUGAUCAGCUGCACCUGUAUGCCAGGCUUUGUUCCUCCUUAAUCUGAGGUCCAACUCUCCGACAGACCCUCUUCUCCAGGACCACCAAUAGACCUUUCCAUGGAGGCUAUGGAGUGUGAUCCCCCUAUAGUUGGAAAACACCCUUUGGUCCCCCUUCUUAAAAUGGGGGGCCACCACACCAGUCUGCCAAUGUGUAAUUGUGUCGAGAGUUGAACCCUGAUGGAGGAUUCUCUAACUCUGGCAAUGCCACAAUAUCCUUGCAAUAGUGCACAGUCAUAUCAGCCACAACAGUCCCACAAAAUCCCAGGCCUAAAGGAACUCUGGGUGGAUCUCUUCCACCCCCUGGGGCCUUGCCGCAGAAGAGCCAACUAUGCAACCUCAGCCCCAGAGUUAGAGGAGCCCACAUCUGAGUCCCUGACCCUGCUUCCUCGCUGGAAGACGUGUUGGUAGGAUUGAGAGGGUCUUCGAAGUAUUCCUCCCAACUAGGCCAGAAACCCUCUCCACACUUGGUGCCAUCUACUAAAUCCACCGACAAUGAGCUACAAGUCUGGAAGAAACUUUCUCUAAAGUUGAACCUCUAUUUUAAUACUGGGUCCUUGUCUAUAAGCUCCAACAUCAUCAAAAAACAUAUUUUUUUCUUCCAAACUCUUCCAAACUCCAGCGUAAAAUUAUUUUACCCCCAAUUUUUUCUGCAUCUGGAACGGUGGCGAUUUUUGCCGUCCACCAAUUCCUACCAGAUCCGUUGGUGAGGUGAAUUGCGUGUGGAUUACAGACGGUGGUAACCACAAUAACUCACAAGAACUUGCGGAUUCACGUGCAAUCACGGGAUAACGAGUUGUCUCUAUAUAAGCCACAGAGGCUAACCAUAAAAGCGGAGUCCGGCAAUCCGCAGCAGAACGGAAAGAAGCCGGUGGAAAAUGACACAUUAACUUGAAUGGUUACGAUCAGCUACAAUCGGCGGAUACAGCCUUUUCGUAGCCUUUCCAGAUGCGGUGGAAAUUGGGGGUUAGGGUCAAACACGCCAUGACACCGAGUUAGACACGCCCUUGAGAGAUGAAUGUUGCCGACCCCUUUCUUCUCUAGUUACACCAACUUUAGGAACGACCGCACGACAGCAAUACACAGUGGUCUAAGGAGCCAGCCCGCACACCUCAACCAAAACGCCACUCUAUAGCCACAAAUAAUGCUCAGAACAGCACCUAACUUCACCAACAGUACAUAUAAGGUCCCAGCCAUAGUACUAGCCACCAAACAUCUUUUUAACAUUGCAUAAUUUCUUAAACAAAAAGACUAAACACAACUCACCUACUCUCUUCCAGCAGCUGCUUAUUUCUAGAGAGACCUCGGAUCAGUCAUUGAGGACUGCAGCUUGGUGACACAGCUCAAGGAGGAACAUUAAUCAUCAUUACUUUAUCAUUUCCUUUAAGUAAUAAUAAUCAUAUUAAUCAUUUUGCACUGCAGAGGUGGUAGUUCUUCUGUCUUUGCGUCUCGGUCUGAUUGCAUUUCCAUGAAGAGAUGAUUUUAAAUGUUCUUCCUUGCAGGAAGAGAGUAGGUGAGUUGUGUUUAGUCUCUUUGCUAAAUAAAUCAGGCAAAGUUAAAAAGAUGUUUGGUGGCUAGUACUAUGGCUGGGACCCUAUAUGUACUGUUGAUGAAGUUAGGUGCUGUUCUGAGCAUUAUUUGUGGCUAUAGAGUGGCGUUUUGGUUGAGGUGUGCGCGCUGGCUCCUUAGACCGCUGUGUAUUGCUAUCGUGCGGUCGUUCCUAAAGUUGGUAUAACUAGAGACGCAAGUAGUCAGCAACAUUCAUCUCUCGAGGAGGUGUCUAACUUGGUGUUAUGGUGUGUUUAACCCUAAAUUAAUUUUACGCUUGAAUAUUGCUUUGACACCAAUCGUUCCCAUCUCAUAGGUUGCCUAUUUGUCAAGCUCAAUCACUUCACCUUAUCAUUUAUUCUUUCAUUUAAUACUGUUAUCAGCCUCUUACUGGCGAUCACUGGGAUCAUUAUUUGUAAUAACUAUUCACAUUAAAGCAAAGUUAUUUUUGUGUAGUUGUGUUGAGAGUUCACUUUUUCCUUUGUUUUAUAAUUACUUUAACCCAAAGUAAAUAUAAGAGGGCAUUUUUCUUAAUCAAAAUUAAAGCACCAUUUCAUUUUUAAUUACGUGUUGAGUUUAGAGUUUGUUUCCAGGUGAUGAACAGGCAAAGUACAAUGAUUGGUCCAUUUCAGUUUCCAUCUUCUGAUGACGUAAUGGUAGAGUACAUUAUUACCACUGAGAGGAGAGAGUUCAGACUGCAAGAGAUUUAUCCCCUCCAUGCAAAAGCUUGUCUUGAUGGACAACUCUUCAGUGUUUUUUCUCUCAGGUCUCAAUGAGACAAAGAAAUAUCGCUUUGUCAUUUUCUCUCUCACUUUACUUUGUUACUGUUCUAUUUUGUUUGUUAAUCUAGUUCUCAUUGUGACCAUCAUCAUAGAUAAAAACCUGCAUGAACCCAUGUAUAUUCUACUGUGUGCAUUUUGCAUUAAUGGGCUGUAUGGAUCAACUGGUUUCUACCCAAAGCUUCUCUGGGAUCUGCUGUCUCCAGUCCAUGUUAUCUCUUAUUCUGGAUGUCUAAUUCAGGCUCUGGUAAUGUACACUUUCGCCUGUGGUGAUCUAUCAUUUCUUGCAGUAAUGGCCUAUGACAGGUAUGUGGCAAUAUGUCGACCGCUGAAGUACCACUCCCUCAUGUCAAAGCAGAGACUGGUGAAGUUGGUGUGUUUCUCUGUGAUCACUCCUUUUGCUGUAAUAUCAACUAACAUUUACUUGGC
rnacentral:lncRNA from 1 species